GGAGUAAUGCGUGCUGGAGAACGUAGUCCCCCAGGUUCCCGUUUGGUCCUAGCCUGCCUCACUUUCGUCAAGAGAACUUUCCCAUCUAGUUCUGCCUGUUGAAGAAGGGACUCUUUACAGAGAGGCUCAGACCAUGCUGUCCACAGUCCAAGGCUGCCCUAGGAGAUAACGUUUAAACACACCAGAGCCUGAAGUGGGUGAUCAAUAACCCGGGAGGUGAUGCGCUCAGGCCAGGAGGCCCUGGGAGAGAGUGCUGCGGGGAUGCCAGGGGUCCACACCUGGGAAGACGAAGAUGAAGCAGGCGGCCAGCCCUCCAAUGACCGAGAUGACCUUGCCGAUGUCAGGGAUGAAGAGCGCCAGCAGCAGGGGAACAACCAACUUAUUUGUUCGAAAGUGCUGACAAAAUGUACACUCCUCUCUCCUUCCUCCCCUUCCACAUAUGGAAGCUGAGUGACACUGCAUGUCCCUAUAAGCCAAGUAUAAAGGAGCUCUGAAGGAUCAGUGGUGGGAAGGGCUGAUGGCUGGGGAAUGGCAAAGCGCCUUUACCAUUGUUUCCGCAAAUCCGGGCUGGUCAGAAUGGUGGAGGCAAUCCGGGCACCAUUGAGAGGAGGGUUGGAAUACAUGGGACGGAUCAGGAUCUUCAACUGUGAUUCUACCCUCUUGGCUUCAUCAGCAUCUUUGCAGACCACAGUGAAGGCUCCAACACGCUCACCUGAAAAGAAAAAAUGGAUCUUGUCUUCUGGUUCUCCUAUCUAAAAUACUAAAGACAGUUGUGAUUCCAUUCGCUAUGUGUUAUCUGUUUCCAUGAGAAGCACAAAAUAACGCUUUGUUAUAAACAAGAAGUUUUCAACAACCAGCAUGGUGAAUCUCCAACAGAAAGUUGGAGUACUACAGAGUGGUCACAGGUCUCUCUUCAUUGUA